rnacentral:lncRNA from 7 species
UGGGGAACUCUCCCUCCUGGCUUGCCCUCCAGUGGCACUGCACACAUGGGUAUGCAAUAGAUUUGAACCUGGAGCUCGAAGUGCUCCCCUCCAGCAGCAGCAGCAGCAGGGCUGCAGACAAUUUUGUGGAGCUGAGCAGGGCGGCAAUGAAUACUGCAAUGUUCUGCAGUGACCCCUCGGAGCCAUCUGGAGGUGGCGUGGGCCCACAGGAGGCAGAGGAGGCUCUGCAACGCAAAGACUCACCCACAAUUCAUUGAAGACUGUGCUGUAUGAAAAUACAGGAAGAUUGGAGUGGGAGUACUGGAAGAUGAUGGAAGAGAACACUGCUGAAUGAAGGUGCUCAAAGUAAGUCAUGUCAAAGCUGAUGGAUUUCCUGUCAUGGUGUGCUAGAUAGCUGUCAUGGUUUGCUAAAUCGACAUGAUAUGUUGAAAGGACGCUUGAAGUUUUUAAGAUAAUAUGGUUAUAAGCAAGCUAGGGAAAUGUGGUUACUAGGAAACUUAUCAGGGCCAGAAGUCUUUGAUACCAGUACUAUGGAAGCCUCAGUAAUAUUUGGUGAGAUGGUUCAGAUGGGAGUUCAGUUUCUCUGUUCUAGGCUUGGCUGCAUUCAAUGUGUCCUUUAAUGUGCUGCGGGAUAAAAUGAGAAGUGUAUUAAAACUGCAGCUGCAGAAAGUGGGAAAGCAUGGCAGAUGGUAAAAGGCAUUAUUAGAGUUCUUAAUACUCUUGACAAAUAGGAAGAAUGAUUGGAAAGCUGUAGGAUGUAGUACAGAGAUGACAACAAGUGAACAACAGAGAAUGGGAAACGAAAUGAAGUGCUGAGAUCCCAGAUGGGGAAUGAAUGGUUGGCCAGAGACAGAUGGAGAGUUAUAGUGGAGCGCAAGCCCAGUACAAAAUAGAGACCUACUGUUUGCAAAGAUACUGCUAAUACAAUGUUUAAUGAGGAAUACUGCCACCAGAAUAGGUGAAGAAAUGUUGUGGCUCAGUUAAGUUUGGUAAAUCCUCAGAUAAAACAUCUGGUUGGGACUAUUCUGCAAAGAAGUUGCAAACUGGCUGGAGAGGCUGCAGAAAGUAUGGCAUCAAGUCCAGCAGUGUGUCAUAGGCAUCUGACACAUGGUCAGAGAUCCUGGAACCUGUCUUCAUAACCUAUAAAGACAAAUAACUCCU